rnacentral:misc_RNA from 1 species
CUCCUUGUAGAUCACUCCACUGGUCGCCCACAUUUCCCCAUAUCCUAUACCCUUCUUCUACUAGUUGCUUUCUAAUAUCGGAUUUGUAUUUCACUGCGCUUUGCCCUUUGUACGAGGCCGUCCUCAAGAUUAAUCGCUCAUAGCCAAUGAAUCCUUGAUUAUGCAAAUUAUGGAUAGUGGCUUGGCCAAGAGUUUGGUCUCUGCCAGUGACGAUGAAUACCUUAAAACCACUCUCAACCAGGACCUGGAACAAUCUAAACA